GUCCACACUGUAACGUUGAUGACUCGAUGUUGGCGAUACACAGCCAGCGUCCAAGAGCAAUCGUUAAGUCAUCCACCUGGGGAGUACGCCGGCAACGGUGAAACUCAAAGGAAUUGACGGGGUCCGCACAAGCGGUGGAGCAUGUGGUUUAAUUCGAUGAUACGCGAGGAACCUUACCUGGGCUAGAAUGCCCUUGAUGGGUACAGAGAUGUAUCGUUUCGCAAGAACAAGGAGCAAGGUGCUGCAUGGCUGUCGU
rnacentral:rRNA from 1 species